rnacentral:rRNA from 1 species
CUUUUUGGAGAGUUUGAUCCUGGCUCAGGACGAACGCUGGCGGCGUGCCUAAUACAUGCAAGUCGAGCGAACU